rnacentral:rRNA from 1 species
UACGAAGGGGGCUAGCGUUGUUUCGGAAUUACUGGGCGAAAGCGCGCGCAGGCGGCUAUCCAAGUCAGUGGUGAAAGCCCGGAGCUUAACUCCGGAACUGCCAUUGAAACUGUUUAGCUUGAGGACGAGAGAGGUGAGUGGAAUUCCCAGUGUAGAGGUGAAAUUCGUAGAUAUUGGGAAGAACACCGGUGGCGAAGGCGGCUCACUGGCUCGUUUCUGACGCUCAGGCGCGACAGCGUGGGGAUCAAACAGG